rnacentral:misc_RNA from 1 species
AUUGCCAAGGAUAGAAGUUCCAAUUGUGUGAAUGGCCAGAUGGAGUCCCCAGCUCCAAUAUCCCCAUCUUUGGGCCCUGGAAACUAUAGGGGCCCACUUGCAGUUGCCUUGGGGCAAAAAUUGCAAAAUGGAUUAAGUUCUUCACAAGCCUCGAGGUAUCAGAACUUUGCUGCAUCUGGAAAUAGCCCACUGCAGUCUGAAAUACCAUAUUAUGAUGUUUACUCUUCUGGAUCUGCUGAUAACACAGGGAUGUCAGCCAAUACGAAGAAGUAUCAUAGUUUGCCUGACAUUUCAGGGCUUUCUUCUGGUCCUUAUAGGGAUAUAUAUAUGUCUGAAAAGAGUACUCAGUGGGACAAUACAGUUGGAUUUGGAGCAACUGUUGGGAUAACAAGUUAUGAACCUUCCUUCUAUUCAAAUAGUGGAUCAGGAGUGCGAGGUUCUAUGGCUUUUGAUAAUGUAUCAAAAGGAUAU